UGGUUAUUUUCUUCGCCAUAAUGUCAGUUCAAUGUCAAUGACGGUGAAGGAAAGAUGAUCUGAUAAGAUAAGUGUUGAUUAGGAUGAUUUUUGAAUGUGCUCUGCGCUCUCUUCAAUAAAGGCAAUGAACGAAGAUUUCUUCUUAUUUACAGCACGUCAGUCGAGUCGACUUCGGUUCACUUUCUUUUCAUCUGGUCCAAAGAAUAGGAUCUCUUGCAUUGCGGUACAGCAUAUUCCGAC
rnacentral:lncRNA from 1 species